UUUAAAGGAUAAAAGUCCAUCCAUUGGCUUUAGGAGCCAAAACU
rnacentral:tRNA from 1 species